CUUGUACCUGGUGGCGAGCGGCGGACGGGUGAGUAAUGCCUAGGCAAUCUGCCUGGUAGUGGGGGAUAACGCUCGGAAACGGACGCUAAUACCGCAUACGUCCUACGGGAGAAAGCAGGGGACCUUCGGGCCUUGCGCUAUCAGAUGAGCCUAGGUCGGAUUAGCUAGUUGGUGAGGUAAUGGCUCACCAAGGCGACGAUCCGUAACUGGUCUGAGAGGAUGAUCAGUCACACUGGAACUGAGACACGGUCCAGACUCCUACGGGAGGCAGCAGUGGGGAAUAUUGGACAAUGGGCGAAAGCCUGAUCCAGCCAUGCCGCGUGUGUGAAGAAGGUCUUCNGAUUGUAAAGCACUUUAAGUUGGGAGGAAGGGCAUUU
rnacentral:rRNA from 1 species